rnacentral:rRNA from 1 species
GACGGAGGGUGCAAGCGUUGUUCGGAAUUACUGGGCGUAAAGCGCGGGCAGGUGGCUCUUUAAGUCCUUUGUGAAAUUCCGGGGCUCAACUCCGGAUGUGCAUAGGAUACUGGAGAGCUAGAGACUGGUAGAGGCGAGCGGAAUUCCUGGUGUAGCGGUGGAAUGCGUAGAUAUCAGGAAGAACACCCGUGGCGAAGGCGGCUCUCUGGGACGGUACUGACGCUGAGGCACGAAAGCGUGGGGAGCAAACAGG